GCAGAUAAGGGAACCUGGACUUGUCUUGCCUGGACAUGCCCACAGCAGACCGGAGGCCAACAUGCAGUGGGGGGAUGGGGUGGAGUCACCAGGAAUUCACGCCUUAUGCAGAGGAGGAGCCUGGCCGCUUCAGCUCAUGUGAUCCUGGUAUUCAAUUGUGAGGUGGAAACCUCUUUGCAGGACCCCUCUCUUUGCUGAGAGCUGUCCUUUCACAUAAUAAAUUCUGCCCUCCUCAAUGUGUCUGCAUGCUUAAUUUUUCCUGGUCACGAGAGAAGAACCCAGAUGUAGCUGAACUAAGGAGCAAAAACCCGGCAUCAAUACCUGCUACAGCACAGAUGCAGCAUGAAAAAUUAUGCUAAGUGAAAUAAGCCAGUCCCAGCAGACCACUUGCUUUUUAUUUCAGAGGCUUAUAGGCAAAUCUAUACAAAGAAGGCAAUGACUAUGUAUGUACUACAAUGUAAACAGCACCUCCUGGAUUGAAUAGUACAUAACUGACAUGACCAGCAGAGACAGGCUAAAGACACUGAGCUGAAAACCCUGGACUCUAUUGUUAAAUCAAGGCUCCUGAAUCCGUUCCCUCUGAGCAACUGUUGCUGUGGUGCUGCCUUCACAAUCACUCUGCUGAGCACUCAGAUUGAGGUGCUGUGCUAUCCGUCAUCGGACAAGCUGCACCCAGAACUGUUCAGCUGACAAACUGGUAGCAGUCCAGAAAUACAGUUCUGCUGCAUAGUGAAAAAAGGCCAAUUUAGAUUCUUUUUCAUAGAGAGAAAAACAUAAAUAUGUGAUUUAACAAGUCUCCUGUAUUAAACUAAUUGGUUUAGAUUUGAUAUAUAAUUGCUAAAAACACACUUAGAAUAUAAACCUUACUGUGUCAAGGUCUCAAAGAAGAAAUAAUUGGUAUGGUAUAAAGUAUUGAAUUGUAUGCUACAAACUUCUAAGCUAAAAUACUUUCAAUGUAUGCAAGGAUAGGUGGCAUACAUAUUAUAUAUUAUUCCCCCAUUAAGCAAAUUUAUAAUGAGAGAAAAUUAUCUUCCAUAAAAAAAGCCAUGUAAAAUUAAGAACUAAGUUUUUCUGCACAGACUAGACAAUGAUUGCUAACACAUAAGGUCAAUGAGAGAACAGUCAGAGAAAGCUUCAUGAAAACAAUAAAUUGUCUGCCACGUCUGAGUGAAUGAGGCUAGAUGAACAGAAACUGAGAACGUAGAAAGAAUAGCAUGAGCAAGAUAAGUGCUGAAAUCUGCCCAAUUAACUCUGAGGAUAAAGUCCAAUGGCAGAGAAAUAAAAACCCGUGUCCACAUAAUAACCUGUAAGUGAAUGUUCACAGCAGCAUUUUUCAUAAGAGCUAAAAAGUGGAAACUAACCUAAAGGUCCAUCAACUGAUGAAUGAAUGGAAAACCAGUAUAGCCAUGGAAUAGAAUAUCAUUUAACUAUAAGAAGAAAUAAACUACCAAUGUGUGCUAAAACAUUAUGCUAAAUGAAUUCUGAAAACAUUAUGCUAAGUGAAAAAGCCAGUCACAAAGGACUACGUAUUGUAUAACUCUAUGUAUAUGAAAUAAGCAGAACAGGCAAACAUAUGGAGACAAAAGUAGAUAGAUGGUGGUUGCCUACAACAGAGGUAGGUGGAGGGACAUGGAGGAAGGCUGCAGUCAUGCCUAGGAGAUGUGGGGUUGCUUUUCAGGGUGAUGAAAAUGCUGUGAAUAUACUAAUAGAUACUGAGUUGUACAUUUUAAAUGGUUGAACUCUCUGAAAUGUGAAUGUUAUCUCAGUGAAAUUGUUUUUAAAAUCCAAAGGCAGGAUCAAGAUAAUUUUCUCAACUCUCAAUUUUUGAUGUACAUGUUAUCUCAAAUUUAAAUAUUUCCACAGUUUUAUAGUAUAUUUUAAAUAAAA